rnacentral:lncRNA from 1 species
GAUAUGAUGAGAUGUGUCGACUGACAGAGGAACUUCCUACAUAAUACUGCUCAGAACCUAGCAUUACCGGUUUAACUCAACAGGUGUGGGCGAGCAAGACUGUGCCAAAAAUAAAGCACUUCAUGUGGCAAGCCCUGACAAACUGUGUUCCCGUCUGUAGUCGUUUGGCUGACCGGCAAUGCCAUCCUGAUCAGACAUGUCCAAGAUGCGGGCAACAUGAAGAGACUAUAAACCAUAUUCUAUUUGAGUGCCAUAUAG